CCAGGAUAGGGGUCGAAUUGGAGCUGUAGCUGCUGGUCUACACCACAGCCACAGCAACGCCGAAUCCAAGCUGUGUUUGAAGCCUACAUCACAGCUUAUGGCAACACCGGAUCCUUAUCCCACUGAGCGAGGCCAGGGCUCGAACUCACUUCCUCAUGGAUGCUAGUCAGAUUCGUUUCCACUGAGCUAGGACUGAUGGGAACUUCCUCAGUUUCAGUGUAAAUGUCACCUCAGAAAGGCCAUCCUUCCUAAACUGUCUCCCUCUGGCCUUCCCAUAUGUCUGUCUCAUUGCUUCAGAUCAUUUCUUCCAGGGCCCUCAAGCUAUUUUAAAAUUAUAUGUUCAUUGUUACUUCACCGUCUCCCAACUAAACUGAACUGCAUGAGGAUGGGAAGAUGUUUCCUGUACCAGUGAAUACCCCAUGCUGGGCACCUUGCCUGGCAUUGGUGGUCACUCUGUGUUCGUUGUACUAAUGAAUGUGGAAGUUUGUCAGCACCGAAGUAGUCUGUACUAUAUUCCAUUGUUUUGCACUUGUUCGUUUUUAAAAUUUAAAUGCAGGCAUUUCCUGUUUGUUUCCUAGGCCAGAUUAUAAAUAGGAAUUUUAGAAAGAGAGGAAGAGAAUGAAAUGGAGAGGCAUAGGUUAUGAUGGGGUAGUGGGCAGAAAUUGUAUUCUGCAUAUUUUUGCAGGACUGGGAGGAGGAAGGCUUCAUUUUAAUGGCAUACCCACCAUAUGUGCUCUGUGCUCUGCUAGAUAUUUAAUCCUCACUGCAGCCCUGCUAGGUAGUGAUCCUAAUUUUUAUGCGUAGAAAAAUUUAGAGAGAUUAAAUCACUUGUCCAGGUCAUACAUUAAGAGAGAGGGCUGACCCUAAAGCCCAUGUCCUUCCCAUCAGGAGAAGCUGGACUUGGAGAUUAGCUUAUUUAGUGAUUUGAGUCUGUCAUUAGCAAGCUUUCAUUAGCAAUUUCAGCUACUUCCGUUUAAGAAUGCCCAUCAUAUGACUAUUCUAGAGUACGAACUCAGCGAAGGGCCUGAUGAGAAACUGCUGUCAUUCUUUUCUUUUGGACUAGAGCAGAGCUCAUUUUACCAUUUCCUUUUUAUGUUUUUUUUAAAAAGUUGUAUUUCUUCUUAUUAGUAACCUUUGUAUGUUUCACCAAGGAAAAGAGAAGAUACAGAAAAAUGGGUGCAUUUCCUACCUAAAGGCUAGCUAUAUCCCUUUAGUGUGGCUUGUUACUGUAUGACUAACUCUUUCGUCUAGGUCCCAAGUAAUACUUUAGACAUCAAAGACAGUUCUCUGGCAAAGUGUCAGGCUCACCGCAACAAUCACUUAUCCCAUUUACUCAUCAGAGUUAUACACCAUCAUUUCCCUCUAACCAGGAGAGCUGCCUCAGGAUAGCUGGGGAGAGCCACCAGAAAGGAUGAGCCUACCUAUCUUAUAUCCAGGGCCAUUCAGUUUUUAUAUGAGGGAAGUGGUACAUUAUAACUCAUGAUAACACGCAUUUGUCAACCAAACCUGGUUAGUCCAUAAGCAAACUAAGUAGUGGGUGGGAAAACAUAUCUUAAAAAACCGCCACCUUCUACUGUAACAGAAAUGAUUCUUGGAAUAGUUCUGGAAUCAAGGCAAUGUCUCUGACUUCCAUGGUAUUCUCUCCUCUUGACAGCUACCAUCUCUUAUGGCUUGAAUAUUCCCACCCCUCUGAAGAUAUGCUGAAGUCCUAAUCUUAAGUACUAAGUGAUAUGAACUUAUUUGGUACUAGGAUUAUUGCAGGUGUAAUGAGUUGAGUUAAAAUGAGGUCAUACUGGAGUCCAGUGGACUCCUAAUCCAAUAACUAGUGUCCUUUUAAGAAGACAGCUAUAUGAAGAAAGAAACUUACAAGGAGAAAACCAUGUGAUGACAAAGGCAAAGGUUGGAGUUAUGCAGCUACAAGCCAAGGAACACCAAAGAUGGCUGGUCAGCACGGGAAUUUAGGAGGAGGCAAGCAAGGAUGUCUCUACAGAUUUCAAAGGAAACACGGUCCUGUCAACACCUUGAUUUCAGGCUUAUAGCUUCCAGAACUGGGAGACAAUAUCCAUUAUUUUAAGCUACCCAGUUUGUGGCACUUUGUUAUAGCAGCCCAAGAAUCUAAUACACGAGCAUAUAUAUCUAUUUGUCAGGGCCUGAAACAGAGGAAAAAAUGGGGAAGGGCAGUGAGGAGGUCUGGCCUACCAUCUCAAAUUGGGAGCAAACCAGCUGUAAGACUCUGGGCCAGUCCCUCCAUCCCACUGGGCAAGUUUCCUCAUCUGUAUGAACAGGAAUAAUGAUAGCUGCUCUGCCUACUUCAGAGCUCUGAAGUGGUAGCUAAUAAGUAGUCCUCUAGAGAUGUUGUAACCAAAAUGGCCUGAAAGCUACUGAGAAACAAGUUUGCAAAAGACAGAGUUCCUGCCAUGGGGAGGUUUAUAGUCUGGCUGAGAGGCAGACUGUAAAAAGGCAUUUUCCUAUGAUAACAUAACCAGUGCAGGCCAAGUGUCAAAUGUGUAGUUUGGAUCUGAUUCACUGUUGAUGUGGAAAGAAGAAUCACUGUGGACUGGGUGGAGAGAAGAGACUGCAUAAAGAACCUUAGCAGCAGAGGGAUUCAUUAGAGGAAGACUGGAUGUCUGUAGGAUCUUUAGCAACACUCAACAUUAUGUCCAGAACUGGUACUGAGAGGCCAUCCCUGCAGCCACUACUGGAUAAAACCAAAUACAGGACCACCAAUAUCGCUUGACCUGGACACAGGAUGAGCCACUGCUCCUGGAAACAGAUACAGUCACUUCCACUGCCACUGUUCUCAUUAGAACAGAGGGUCACUGUGACUUCACUACAGCAGCUAUCUGUCCCAAGCCUGUGGACAAAUGACUGGUACAACCCAGUCACAUGUUAACCUUCUAGCUCAAUGCUGUCCAAUAGGAGUAUAAUGCAAGCCAUAGACAUAAUCCUCAAUUUUCUAGGAGCCACAUUAAGAAAAUUAAAGAAAAAGUGAAAUUAAUUUUAAUGACAUAUUUUAUUUAACUUAACAUAUCCAAAAUAUUAUCUUUUCAACUUGUAACACUAGCUGCAUUUCAGGUGUUCCAUAGCUACAUGCGACUAGUGGCUAUCAUAUGUGACAGACAGCUCUAACUGAUAGGGAGGCUGGGAAAAUGAGUGUAUGAACUUUGGAUUUCCAUUGUAAGAAGUGGGUUUGACUUCAUGAGGAAGGCAAUUUCACAAACACAGGAAGAGGGUUCAGAAUUGGAAUUAGAAUGCUGGAUUUUGGAGUUCUCAUUGUAGCUCAGCAGGUUAAGAACCCGACAUAGUAUUUGUGAGGAUGUGUGUUUGAUCCAGUGGAUGAAGAAUUCAGCAUUGCUGCAAGCUGUGGUGUGGGUCCCAGAUGCAGCUUGUAUCUGGCAUUGCUGUGACUGUGUCGUAGGCCAGCAGCUGCAGUUCCAGUUCAACCCCCAGCCUGGGAACUUGCAUAUGCCUCAGGUGUGGCCAUAAAAAGAAAAAAAAAAUGCUGGAUUUUAGUUAUGCUUCCCAUCUGUGCAGCCUGAGGCAGGAUGUCCCUCUGAAUUUCUCUUUUCAUCUUCAGGAAUGAGGAUGAUGAUAUCUGUCAUGCUUCUGUGAUGAUGGAAUCUCAUAGGAUGGAAUGAAAUAAUGGAUCUGAAAAUGCAUGCAUGGCACCUACCAAGCACUCAAUAAGUGUUUCUUAAAUCUGAAUGAAUCCAAGUAUUAGAAAUCUAGAUAAAUAGUAAGAAGAUUGAACUAUUUCCCUGAAGCUAAGAGGAAUAUUCUAGAGUGAAAAAGCAAAAAUGUGUAUUUCAGAUAUUUCAAUUCUGUCUCAGCUUGGACAGGUUAAAUUGUAUUUGUUUUCCAAGUAGCCCAUUUCUUCCCUGAAGCUCUUAGUGGUCCUUCCUGGCUAGAGGCAUUCUCUCCUUCCAUGGCCCCAGGUUCUCCUUUGGACAGGUGACGUGGUUUACAGGACUCAUGCCUGAUCUUUUUCACCAGGUUCAUACAUGAGAGCAGAGACAAGGGCUCACUCAUCUUUGUGUUUGACCCACACAAUGUCUUGAACUGGAGGCAUACAAGUAAACAAGAUCAGCAAAAUCUGAUAAUUUUAGAAGGUGGAUGAUGAGCACCACGAAUGUAAUGCUAAUAGUAAUAGUAAGCUAUUACACUGUUCUCACUGCUUUUGGAUGUGCUUGGAAAUUUUCAUAAUAAAAAG
rnacentral:lncRNA from 1 species